rnacentral:rRNA from 1 species
GACGAACGCUGGCGGCGUGCUUAAUACAUGCAAGUCGAACGGAAAGGCCCUGCUUGCAGGGUACUCGUGUGGCGAACGGGUGAGUAACACGUGGGUGAUCUGCCCUGCUCUUCGGGAUAAGCCUGGUAAACUGGGUCUAAUUCCGGCUAGGUGCCAUUUUUAGUGUGAUGGUUGGAAAGUUUUUUCGGUGUAGGCUGAGCUCGCGGCCUAUCAGCUUGUUGGUGGAGUAAUGGCCUACCAAGGCGGCGUCGGGUAGCCGGCCUGAGAGGGUGGACGGCCACAUUGGGACUGAGGUACGGCCCAGACUGCGACGGGUGGCAACAGUGGGGAAUAUUGCAGGAUGGGCGCAAGCCGGAUGAUGCGAGGCCGCGUGGGGGAUGACGGCCUUCGGGUUGUAAACUCCAUUCGCUAGGGACGAAGCUUUUUGUGACGGUACCUAGAUAAAAAGCACCGGCUAACUACGUG